rnacentral:rRNA from 1 species
CUCCGGUUGAUCCUGCCGGACCCGACUGCUAUCAGAGUGGGACUAAGCCAUGCGAGUCAACAUAGCAAUAUGUGGCAUACGGCUCAGUAACACGUAGUCAACAUGCCCAGGGGACGUGGAUAACCUCGGGAAACUGAGGAUAAACCGCGAUAAGCCAAGGUUUCUGGAAUGGACACUGGCUGAAACCUAUACGGCCCCUGGAUUGGACUGCGGCCGAUCAGGCUGUUGGUGAGGUAAUGGCCCACCAAACCUGUAACCGGUACGGGCUUUGAGAGAAGGAGCCCGGAGAUGGGCACUGAGACAAGGGCCCAGGCCCUAUGGGGCGCAGCAGGCGCGAAACCUCUGCAAUAGGCGAAAGCUUGACAGGGUUACUCUGAGUGAUGCCCGCUAAGGGCAUCUUUUGGCACCUCUAAAAAUGGUGCAGAAUAAGGGGUGGGCAAGUCUGGUGUCAGCCGCCGCGGUAAUACCAGCACCCCGAGUGGUCGGGACGAUUAUUGGGCCUAAAGCAUCCGUAGCUUGUUCUGCAAGUCCUCCGUUAAAUCCACCUGCUCAACAGAUGGGCCGCGGAGGAUACUACAGGGCUAGGAGGCGGGAGAGGCAAGCGGUACUCAGUGGGUAGGGGUAAAAUCCUCUGAUCCACUGAAGACCACCAGUGGCGAAGGCGGCUUGCCAGAACGCGCUCGACGGUGAGGGAUGAAAGCUGGGGGAGCAAACCGGAUUAGAUACCCGGGUAGUCCCAGCUGUAAACGAUGCAGACUCGGUGAUGGGUUGGCUUUGAGCCAACCCAGUGCCGCAGGGAAGCCGUUAAGUCUGCCGCCUGGGGAGUACGGUCGCAAGACUGAAACUUAAAGGAAUUGGCGGGGGAGCA